GACGUAGGAGGCGAGCGUUGUCCGGAUUCAUUGGGCGUAAAGAGCACGCAGGCGGUUUGGCAAGUCGGAUGUGAAAACCCGAAGCUCAACUUCGGGCCUGCAUCCGAAACUGCCCGACUAGAGGUAGGUAGGGGAGAUCGGAAUUCCUGGUGUAGCGGUGAAAUGCGCAGAUAUCAGGAGGAACACCGGUGGCGAAGGCGGCAUCCUGGACCGGCAUUGACGCUGAGGAGCGAAAGCCAGGGGAGCAAACGGG
rnacentral:rRNA from 1 species